AACAACAUCAACAUCAACGGUAGAAAACCCAGCUUCCCCAUUCACUGUUCUACCCCUUCAGUACAUCCAUUUGUGGCUAAAAAAUUAAGGACUUUUAGGUGUUCAGUCCAUGAUUCCCUGAUUUGGGCAAGAAUCAAUUCUUUCUUUUCUCCAUCUCUCUUGUUGAUUCUUGAGUACCCUUUGUCUCACUAUGGAUAUCAAAAAUUUUAGAAACAACUUUGAAAUUUUGAAUUUGAAGUCCACUCUUUCAAAACCCUACCUUCCCCUAUAAAUAGAUAGCAGCAAGGGACAAGGGUGAAGGAGGAGGAUUUUGGA
rnacentral:lncRNA from 1 species